CUUGUAGGCGGUUUGUCGCGUCUGCUGUGAAAAUCCGGGGCUCAACCCCGGACUUGCAGUGGGUACGGGCAGACUAGAGUGUGGUAGGGGAGACUGGAAUUCCUGGUGUAGCGGUGAAAUGCGCAGAUAUCAGGAGGAACACCGAUGGCGAAGGCAGGUCUCUGGGCCACUACUGACGCUGAGAAGCGAAAGCAUGGGGAGCAAACA
rnacentral:rRNA from 1 species